AGCCAAUUUUCAGUGGGCGGGUGGGUGAAGUUGUAAUAGCGCCCACGUGUUUGUAUGGGUUUUAUCUUUUUUCGUAAGGCGGUCUUGGCUGGGUUUGCUCGCCUGAUUUUUAUUAGCCUCGGGAAUUUACCGUACAGAGCAGAAUGCGAUCGCCUCUUAAAAUUAAUUAAAUUUGGUGCCUUCCCAAGUCUUUUGGGAAUGCAGUUAUCUAAAUUUUCGGCCAAAGGACAGGUUGAGAAUGGCCAGAGUUGUCGUUUCAGUAUAUUUGAAAGACUCCAGGCAUCUGUGGAUUCAUCAAGAAUAACCUUAUCCUCUUAGACAGUGUGCCUAAUUUAUUUGACCACAGAAAUG